rnacentral:rRNA from 1 species
GACGAACCGUGCGAACGUUAUUCGGAAUCACUGGGCUUAAAGCGCGUGUAGGCGGGACGGCACGUCGGUCGCUGAAAUCCCCCGGCUCAACCGGGGAACGGGCGCGGAUACGACCGUCCUGGAGGGGCGUAGGGGGACCUGGAACUUCCGGUGGAGCGGUGAAAUGCGUUGAGAUCGGAAGGAACGCCCGUGGCGAAAGCGAGGUCCUGGACGCUUACUGACGCUGAGACGCGAAAGCCAGGGGAGCGAACGGG